CGGCAUGGAGUUCCCGGAGCACGGCGUACGGCUGCUGGGCCGCCUGAGGCAGCAGCGCGAGCUGGGCUUCCUGUGCGACUGCACUGUCUUGGUGGGCGACGCGCGUUUCCCUGCGCACCGCGCUGUACUGGCAGCGUGCAGUGUCUACUUCCAUCUCUUCUACAGGGACCAGCCCGAGAGCAGCCGCGACACGGUGCGGCUCAACGGCGACAUCGUCACAGUGCCCGCCUUCAGCCGCCUGCUGGACUUCAUGUACGAGGGCCGCCUGGACCUGCACAGCCUGCCUGUCGAGGACGUCCUGGCUGCCGCCAGCUACCUACACAUGUAUGAUAUCGUCAAAGUCUGCAAGGGCAGGCUUAGGAAGAAAGACCCAGAUCUGGAGACCCGCGCUCUGGGGACAGAGCUUCCUGGUCAGCCACCACACUCCCUGCCUUCCUGGUCCCCUGACUUCUGCCAAGCCGCAACAAAUGCCAAACCCCCACCUCUAGGGAUCAAGGCUGCCCAUCCCUUGCCAACAUUUGGACCUCCAUCUUGGCAGGUCACAGGGGAGCCAACUGGGGCCCUGGACCUGUCACUGAAGCCUAGUCCAAGACCGGAGCAGGUUCACCCACCCUGUAUCCUCCAGAAAUCCCUCUACAGCUCGAUGCAGCAAGGGGUCCAGCCUCUGGUGAAGAUUGAGCAAGAUUCAUUCUCUGAACAAGAUAGCAGGAGCCCACGGAGCACCAACCGAUCCCCACCACCCGUCUGCGCUUCUGCAGCCCAAGACUUGGCAGAGGACUUGGAACCACUGAAUGUCCAAGAGACAGGCAGCCAGCAACUUGGACUGGAUGCAGAGCCGGUGGGGGACAGCGAGGAGCUGGGUCCCAACAGGCACCUCUGCAUUUGCCCUCUGUGCUGCAAGCUGUUCCCUAGCACCCAUGCACUGCAGUUGCAUCUCAGUGCCCACUUCCGAGAGCGGGACAGUGUCCGUGCCAGACUCUCUCCUGAGGGGGCCGUACCCACAUGCCCACUCUGCAGCAAGACCUUCUCCUGCACAUACACACUGAAGAGGCAUGAACGGACACACUCGGGGGAGAAGCCCUAUACAUGUGUGCAGUGUGGCAAGAGCUUCCAGUACUCACACAACUUAAGCCGGCAUGCUGUGGUCCACACACGGGAGAAGCCCCAUGCCUGCCGCUGGUGUGAGCGCCGAUUCACACAGUCUGGGGACCUGUAUCGCCAUGUCCGCAAGUUCCACUAUGGCCUCGUCAAGUCCUUGCUGGUGUGAAGUGUUUUUCUGUAUCCCCCAAGGUGGAGGAAGGGACAGGGCACGGGUCUCUUUUGGGUGGGACUCUGGGACAGAAGGAGCAGCCCAGGUGGGUGGAAGCCCGACCUCAAGACUAGCAGGCUCCACCUGGGGACCUGAAUGAAUGCUGCUGCUUUUUAGAUGGGCUGCCUCCCCCCACACCCUUCACUCUCCACCUCACACCUGAGCACAGGUUGUACCCUGCCCAGUUAGGGACAGUCUUCCUCAGUGUCCUCUCCAGCAAGGGGUCCCACCUGCCCAUUCACUGGGCCUGGGCUUCACAGUGUGAGGUAACAGUUUUUCUCGGCCCCAGGGCUUCCCUGACACCCUGCUGGGAUACUUGAGAGUGUCCUUGUGUACCAGCGCCAUCAUAAAAUGACUCGCUUGUCAAAGAAGUCAUUAAUGCAGGUGCCCGACAGGGUGCACUGAGUGAACAGCCCACUCCGGGUGAAUGGCAGCAGGACCCCUGUUGAGAAGGCCACUGGCACAAGUACCAGCAGGGGCUGUAGAGACACAGCUGACCUUGAAGGAGGCCCAGCUCCUGCAGGGACCCUGGAGCGUCCUGAAGGUGGCUAAAGCUGGGUGUCCCUGGAGUGACUGUUCCUGGAAUGGAAUGGAGGUGGGACUUUGGGCAAAGAAGGGGAUUUGGGAAGGGAUUUUCUUUAUAUCAAAAGAGCCUUCUCAAGGCCACCAUAUGUCUGCUACUCGGAGAGGACCCUCCAAGUGUCCCUGCUGGUCGCAAGGCUGGAAUGGCAGAUCCGGCCAUGAGCCAAGCUUCACAUGUGGAAGCUAAUGCUGUGUUCCAGCAGGCCUGACCCUGGGAGUCUCUCCUGCUUUCUAAGGGUCUCCCUGGUGCUGCAGUCAUUCCUAGGCCCCAAACACAAGGCCAAAGCUUGUGCAGCUUAACAAGAGCAAUGUUUGCUGUGCCACCUCCUGUUGUGGGGCACGGGUAGGAACAGCUGUCACAGGGAGGCAGGGGAGGCACACUCCCCCUUCGUCGACAUUCUUGGAAGGAAGGCUGGCACCCCUGAAAUGUGAAGGUCUUCAUCCUCUGCCUUUGUAUUGGAUAUGGGCCACCUUACUUUGACACUUGCUCCCCAAGCAAGUCUUGCUGUCCCAGAAGCUUGAUGGUUUUAGGAAGGGGUGUGGCAGGAUGGGGAUGGCCUCAACCUUGCCUGAAACAACCUGCCCCUCUCCCCAGCAGUGCUGUCUGCAGAGGACAGACGUGGGCCAAGUCUGUCAUUAUGUCUUCUGCUAACACUUGACUUAUUUAUUUGUCUGCUUGGUCUGGAGUGACGUGACAAUUGGUCUCCCCAUGGUGGACAGAACCAUUGUUCAUCUCCCGACCCUCUCUGUGCUCUCCUAAUAUGUCCAUGGCUGGCCAGGAAGCUGAUGCCUGUCCGUGAUGCUCCAAGACUGGAGGUCCAGGGCAGGCUGCAGUCUAGAGAGCUGGAGAAGAGGCGAUGAUGUCCUGGCUUCUGACUCCACUGGUGAUUUAUGAGCUGAGGUUUCUCCCUCUCUCAUGUAUGUGUCUGUCUGUCUGACUGUCUGUGUCUAUUUGUCUAUGUGUUUGCAGUACUACAAGAGCAGGCAGAGCACCGCUGUGUUGGUUUUCCCCGAGUGCCUGCUUUCCCAGGGCAGGGAAUCUGCCCUAAGUCAACACUGGACUCAUUGUCUUCGGUGCAGUUACUGUGAAGUUAGGAAUAAGUGACUGGUUCUAAGUUUCUAACUGGCACCGUUCAGUUGCCUGUAUGCAUAUGUCUGACACACUACCUGUGUAGAGUACAGGACAGAUGUGUGGAGGAGUCCAGGUGCAUUCUGCUGUGUGGGGUUCCUAGGACCUCAGCUACUGUCCCUGCCUGUGGUCUCACUGCUGCUCUGCCCCUGGAGGGACCACUGGGAAAUGACCACAGGACAAUUCUUCCCACCUAGGUUUGCACAGCUCUGCUUAUGGUCAGCCUGCACCGCUCCCAGAAAAGAGGACCAUCUUCUAUUCACAUGUUCUGGCGGUCACAUGACAGUGUAAUAAAGCCAACCACAGACAAGCCCAGUGUGAAUAGCAUCAUAAUCACCCCACCUCUGCAUCCACUGCCCCACGUCUACCAUCAUCAUCAUCUCAUCCCACCUCUGCAUCCACUGCCCCACGUCUGCCAUCAUCAUCAUCAUCAUCAUCCCACCUCUGC